rnacentral:lncRNA from 13 species
GCUUGAAGUAAAGUAAGGUGGAGGGUUCCAAGAGAUUAUUGUUCCACACAACAGGGCCAACAGCUGUGGUCAUACCAGCUCAUCACAUGAAGGAGGAUGAGACAACCUCCCAAUACGAACCCAUCUUAAGUCAUUGAGUGUUUAAUCUCGUUGCGUUUCUGCUCCCUCGAGAUUUAAAGGUUUUCCCUUUGCGAGUAAAGUCACAUUGCACGUUACGUGUUUGUUUUAUUUUUGUAGGUGUUAAAUCUUCAACCAAAGAGUGUUACUUUGAGACGGGGCCAGUUGUUUUUCCACUUGGCACACACUGGUUGAAUCAACGUUGUUUCCACGUCAUUUCAAUGAAAUUACGUUGAACCAACAUGGAAUAGAUGCUGAAUUGACGUCUGUACCCAGUGGGUUGUAGCAGACACUAAUAUUGUACUGUUGAAAAUGUAUCCUAUGUCUUGACAAUAGAUAUUACAAUAAAUGUUUUUCACGUGCAGUAAACACCGUGGAGUACCAUUAUUAUGCUAAGAACACACAGCUCAGAACAUUAAGCUAAAAUGAGAUCUCAAUCCGAAGAUGGACUGUAGAGAUUGACAGUUGUCUAAGAAAGCAACAGGGUGACCUUCCUCCCACAGUUUUGCCAAGAAUGUGCCAUGCCGUCGCCAAGGGAUCUAAUACGGCACGAUUUAAAACCAAGAGAAGGCUGCCAGAGGAUACUUUUUUUUCCAUUGGAAAGGUGAUCUGAUCUGAACAGUGGAUAGGAGGGUUAAGAAAUUCUCAAGUGGUUACCCACAGGAUAGAAUGGUCUCCUGUAUUCAAGUAAAAAUGUGAUACUUGAUAUCUCCUUUGAAACACUCAUUUUUUUUUUAGGACAUAUUCCAUAUGGCUGUGUACUGCCAAAUGUUUCACAUGUUUAGAAGGCUUAUUGUGUUUUCAGGGACCUUGACGUGCUACUGUCAAAUUCAACCACUUGAGCUUCCUUGUUUGCCAAGCAGCAGCAACUGUGAACAGGGCAGCAGACCACAGUGUCAGGUCAAGAUAUCUGUCUCGUCUCCUCCACUGUGACAGUACUUUUAUUGUGCAACUGCUUCCUUGCAACUAUAUGAUGUUGAUUAGGUCAGGCAUAUGAAGAGAUGUUCCCCAAAUCAAAUGGCAAAAGGAGUCGAUCCCAUUCCUUGACUGUCUCUAGCGCACGGUGAGUCUUGCCCACAGACCAGUCCGCAUGAACAUUUCGAAGAGCUGGUGAUAUCCCCUUGAUUUUGAAUGGCUUCCCUGUUAGUGGAUGGUUGAGGUUGUGGCCUUUUAUGGCCAAUUUACCGUACAUAGUUGCUUGUUUUUUAAUGUUGCACUUUGCUACAUACAUUUUUUGACUUUUAAAUGAAUUGAUUCAUUGAUUCUUGAAGAAUUCAACUUAUUAAUGCCUCAGGUCAACUGUCUAAAAAUGUAAUUGUAAACAAACACUGCAUAGCGUCAAAACAUGGUUAAUCAUUGGCAAAUGGGUUGAACUGAUUGGCCAAAAGUGUUGACCUGGUUGAAAAAAGAUCAGAAUUGGACUGCCUGUGUAAACACAGCCUUAACUGUUGACACAAAAAGGUGGUGGGGUGGCCGCUUUGUUAUUGUUUGAACUGCAGAUUGCCCCUUGAAAGGAGUUUGGCAUUGGUUUGUAUGACUGAGUCCACAGGAAACUUGUUUAAAUAAUUGGCAGCGUGUAUUGUAUUGUAAGUCCACAAAUCAACCACUGCAUGGUGCUCCAGAUCUACCUGACUCCUUGAGCUUCAGUCUCUAGUCUGCUGCGCUGG